CCCAAGAUGGAGUCGGCUUAGGGAGUAGAGCGAGAGGGCCAGGGAGUGGAGAGGGGAGGAAUUCUCGUGAGAUGCGAGAAGAGCAAAGUGCGUAUUCAUCCCAGAAUGCUUCGCAGCCACGCUUGGUGGAUAAAAAGUCGACCUAGAAGCCAGAAGACCCCCAAACAAAUCACUUAACCUCUCAGUGAUCUAGGCCUCAUAACAAACUGCAGUCUACAGCUUCUUGGAGGUCAGCGUGUUAACCUAAGCAAAACACAGCAAGAAUCUGGUUAUCUGAAAAGUUUAAAUAAAAUUAAGAAGCCAGAUGUUUUUUAGUCAAGCUCUCCUGACAAGACUCAAUCUAAACUUCAUCUUUAACAAAGAAAAACAAAAUCAGUGCCAUUUUCUUAUCAGGAUCAAAUUGUUGUACUAUUGUGGAAGAAGUGAGAAAACUUUGUUGAAAGAAAGAAAAAGAAGAAAGCAAGAAAGCAAGAAUAAAGAUAAAUGGGGUCAAGUUUUAACUCCAUGGAAAUGCCAUGUCUGCUCUUCAGUAAAGAGACUGGUUUAAAGUCACACUGAAAACGCUGACUGCAUUUAUUUGUCAUUGCAAAAAAAGACACUAAAUUGCUGCCCUCAUUUGUCAGCUAUUUUUCCUUUUAAAAAAAUCCAGGGGGAGCUGGGUAGCUGGGUAGCUCAGUGGAUUGAGAGCCAGGCAUAGAGACAGGAGGUCCUGGGUUCAAAUUUGACCUCAGACACUUCCCAGAUGUGUGACCCUGGGCAAGUCACUUGACCCCCAUUGCCUAGCCCUUACCACUCUUCUACCUUGGAGCCAAUACACAGUACUGACUCCAAGACGAAAGAUAAGGGUUUAAAAAACAAAAAAUCCAGCCUUGGUUUCAUGUAAUCCAUUUUUUCAUCUUAUUAUUAUUCCUGUAGGUAAAAAUAAAGGAAAUCUCAAAGUGUUUUUUCUUUCUAUGAAAGGAGCUGCUAUGUAUACACAUGCACACACACAUACACAAACUGGGAAUCAACAAUAAGUUUAUUGUUCAUGCUAGAUAAAAAUUAAUCUCACAUUAAGAUUGGGCUAAGUGGUCAUGGACUACAGACUCUAUUGCUUUGAAUAAAACAUUUGUCAUUUACUCGGCACCAGGCUAAAAUGAGUAAAAUCUAUUUGAAGGUAUCUUGUUUGUAAACAUUUGUCAGAUUAUAUUUUUUUAAUUAAAAUUCAAAAUAUGGAUGUCUAUAAAACAAAAGAAAUGGAGAGAAUUUAUCUACCACAGAUAGAAGUGUCUUUGAAUGUGUGGUGCUGAUUGUAAGAUUUAGUGGGAUGGAAAGGGACUCCAAAAGGGCAAUAAAGGACAGAAAACCCUUAAUAUGACUACUUUCCCCAAGAAUGUGGCCCUGUCUUUUGUCAUUCCCAGUUGAUGAUCAUUUCAAAAUAGUCCACAGGGGUGCCAUACCUGCUGCAUCAUACAGGAAUGAAGGACUUACGUCUAGAAUAGUUUGUGUUUUCUUCAUAGAAGGAAAGGUAGAAUGAAAGUGAAAUCCACUAAAGUUCUCAAUGCAAGUUUCUCUUGCUUUUAACGAUCAGUGCUUAUACUGCAUUUUUCUAUACUAUAUUAACAGCUUCAAUGAAAUCUGAUGUUUGGCUUAUGCAGCCUUGCAAAAAUGUUACUAGAUUUUGCAUUAAUUCAUAUUAGCUUUGUCUUCCUAAGAUCUGGAAUUUGCCUAAUAAUGGUAUUUUUAAAACAGGCUUUUCAUGGGUUUAAUAUCACCCCUCCUCCUACACUUAGGCAAGACUUUUUCCAGCUCUUGGUUCCCCUAAACUAAGUGUAAGAUAGUUAUGGAUCACAACACUUACUAUAGGCUCAGGUGUACAGGUUAUUCUGGGUUUUUUUUUUUCUCUAAUCAUGAUAAGACCAUUCAUUUUUUGUUUAUACAUAUGUUUUCUCUUAAACUAAAAAAAAAUAUUGAAUGUGAAGACAAAGUUUGUUUCUUAAAAUAAGAGUAGUUGUAUUGAUAUCAUGAAGUUCUACUUUGUAAGAGUUACAUAUUGUAUGCAUUCGUCAAUGCAAGAACUCUUUUAAUAUAAAAUUAUUUUGUGUCUCAUGUCAGUAUUUCUGUACUAUUUAUUAGUAUUUUAAUAUAAAUACAUAUUUAAACAAUCAUUUAAAACUUGGGGAAUGAACUUUCCUACCUGAGGCAACAGAUUGCAGUUUUUAAAAUUCCGACAAAUUCUGAAGCUUUUUUUGUACAUAAUAGGACAUUUCAUCCUAGACAAACAAGGUAAUGUUUUAGACAUUGGAUUUGGUGCAAUUUCUAAUGAAAUAAUGUUUGGUUGAUUGCUGGUAUAUUUUUAUUCAAAAUUGGUAAUGCCAAAUUGUACAUAACAAGCAAAUUUUUAUGAGUACUUAGGAGUAUAUUAAUGGCAACUCUUUAUUUAAUGGUAUA